UUUAGCCUCCCAGGUAGCUGAGACUACAGGCACAUGCCACCAUACCAGGCUAAUUUUUGUAUUUUUUUUGUAGCAAUCAGGUUUCUCCAUGUUACCCAGACUGGUCUCAAACUCCUGGGCUCAAGCCAUCCAUGCCUCAGCCUCUUAAAGUGCUGGAAUUACAGGCGUGAGCCACCGUACCCAGCCUCUCUUGGUUAUAUUUGUAAACGACAACAACUAAAAGUUCUUGUUGUUUUGGAACUCCAGAAGUAUAAAAAAUUAUUACAUGUACAAUUAUGUCAAAUAAAAGGAAAUCUUUUAAAUUUGAAGUUAUGCAAACCAGCUACAUAGUUCCAAAAUUCCAGUCUUCCUUCUGCUCCAUGGUUUGCAUGUUCUGUGCUUUCAAUAGGUGUACAUCCAUGUCUAGUAGCAGUAGUCAAACUGGCUAGACAAAUAAGGCAAAUAGAGUGUCAAAAUAGGGUGCCCAGAUAUCUGGUUAAACAUUAUUUCUGGUCUGUCUUGGAGAGUGUUUCCAGAAACAGUUAGCAAUUACCCUGAGAUAAGACACUGCCUGUUUCUAAGUAACCUCUUUAAACUAAUCUCAAUGUUAGGAAAGAUAGUUUAAUAAUAAAUUAUUUAUCUUCAAGAUCACUUUAUAACUAUUCUCC
rnacentral:lncRNA from 1 species